rnacentral:pre_miRNA from 1 species
UACAUACUCCCUCCGUUCCAAAUUACUCGUCGCUGAAAUGGAUGUAUCUAGAACUAAAAUACAUCUAGAUACAUCCAUACGUGCGACAAGUAAUUCGGAACGGAGGGAGUACGAC